rnacentral:rRNA from 1 species
AUUUAGUGGCGAACGGGUGAGCAACGCGUGAGUAACCUGCCCUGGAGUGGGGGAUAACUAUUGGAAACGAUAGCUAAUACCGCAUAACAGUAGAUAUUGCAUGAUAUCUGCUUGAAAGGUGCAAUUGCAUCACUACCAGAUGGACCUGCGUUGUAUUAGCUAGUUGGUGAGGUAACGGCUCACCAAGGCGACGAUACAUAGCCGACCUGAGAGGGUGAUCGGCCACACUGGGACUGAGACACGGCCCAGACUCC